rnacentral:piRNA from 1 species
AUUACACUGCAUUCUGUUUAUGAUCCUCUGC